AAAUUAUUUUUAUUUUAUAAUAAAAUUAAUUUUGUUUUUUAUUAAUUUAUUUGAAAAAAUAUAUUUAAUUAUAGUUUAUUAGUAUAGUGAUAGAAAUUUAAUUAUUUUAAAUUUUUAAAAUAAAAAUUAAUUUUUUGUACCUUGUGUAUCAGGGUUUAUUAAUUAUAAUUUAUAUAUUUAAUUUUCUCGAUUUUAUAAGAGUUAAUAAGUUAUUAAAUUUUAUUGUGAUAUAAAUAUUUAUAAUAAUUUAUUGGAAAUGAAACGUUAUUCGUUUAUAAAUAUAUCUAGUUUUUAAAGAAAUAAAUUUAAUUUAUUGUAUAUUAAUAAUUAUUUAUUUAUAAAAUAAAUUAUUUUUUAUAUAAUAAAAUUUAUUAGGAUAAGCUAAUAAGUUUAAAUUUAUAAAUAUAAAAAAAGUUAUAAGUUGUAGGAUUAGAAAUUUUUAUCAUUUAGUAUGUUAUAAUUAAUUUUAAUAAAAAUUUUAUUUAUAUUUAGUUUUAAGGAAUUUAUUUAAAUAAUUUAUUUAAUUUUUAAGUAAAUUUAAUAAUGAUAGAAUUAGUAUAUAAAUUUUGUAGAAUUAAUUUAUUUGUUUUAGGUUAGGUAAAGGAAUUUGGCAAAUUAAAUUUUCGCCUGUUUAUUAAAAACAUGUCUUUUUGAGUAUAAUUUAAAGUCUGGUCUGCCCACUGAAAAUUUUUAAAUGGCCGCAGUAUAUUAACUGUGCGAAGGUAGCAUAAUAAUUAGUUUUUUAAUUGAAAGCUAGAAUGAAUGGCUGAACGAAAAAUUUACUGUCUCUAUUUAAUUUAAUUAGAAUUUUAUUUUUAAGUUAAAAAGCUUAAUUACUAUUAAAAGACGAGAAGACCCUAUAGAGUUUAAUAUAAUUUUAUAAUAUUUUAAUAAGAAUCUAUUUUUAUUAAUAAUUUUAUAUUUUAUUGGGGUGAUAUAAAAAUAUAAUAUACUUUUUAUAUAUUUAAACAUAAAUUUAUGAUUAAUUGAUCCAUUAUUAUGAUUAAAAGAAAAAAUUACCUUAGGGAUAACAGCGUUAUUUCUUUAAAGAGUUCAAAUCGAAAAAGAAGUUUGCGACCUCGAUGUUGGAUUAAAAUUAAUUAUUGGCGUAGUAGUUGAUAGUAUUAGGUCUGUUCGACCUUUAAAAUUUUACAUGAUCUGAGUUUAAACCGGUGUGAGCCAGGUUGGUUUCUAUCUUUAAUUUUUUUUUAUAUACUAGUACGAAAGGACCUUAUAUA
rnacentral:rRNA from 1 species